UACAGAGGUCUCAAGCGUUGUUCGGAUUCAUUGGGCGUAAAGGGUGCGUAGGCGGCGCGGUAAGUCGGGUGUGAAAUCUCGGAGCUUAACUCCGAAACUGCAUUCGAUACUGCCGUGCUUUGAGGACUGGAGAGGAGACUGGAAUUUACGGUGUAGCGGUGAAAUGCGUAGAUAUCGUAAGGAAGACCAGUGGCGAAGGCGGGUCUCUGGACAGUUCCUGACGCUGAGGCACGGAAGGUCAGGGGAGCAAACGGG
rnacentral:rRNA from 1 species